CGCAGCUUAGCGGACAGAGGCACAUGUAUGAGUGUGGGAUGGAUGAUGCAUGAUUGGCUAUAUUAUACAUGUAUGAGUGUGGGAUGGAUGGUGCAUGAUUGGCUAUGUGCUACAUGUAUGAGUGUGGGAUGGAUGAUGCAUGAUUGGCUAUAUGCUACAUGUAUGAGUGUGGGAUGGAUGGUGCAUGAUUGGCUAUGUGCUACGUGUGGGAGUGUGAGAUGUGAGGAAGUGGGUGGUGACAGAUCAGACUGACCUCAGUGCCACUUAGGAGCCGGGCCAGCAACAAGUUUCCC
rnacentral:lncRNA from 1 species